CGGACGGGUGAGUAAUGUCUGGGAAACUGCCUGAUGGAGGGGGAUAACUACUGGAAACGGUAGCUAAUACCGCAUAACGUCGCAAGACCAAAGCGGGGGACCUUCGGGCCUCUUGCCAUCGGAUGUGCCCAGAUGGGAUUAGCUAGUAGGUGGGGUAACGGCUCACCUAGGCGACGAUCCCUAGCUGGUCUGAGAGGAUGAUCAGCCACACUGGAACUGAGACACGGUCCAG
rnacentral:rRNA from 1 species